rnacentral:lncRNA from 1 species
CUUAAUGAACUAACCGUUGCAACUAACCGUUAUUUUAACAAAAAUAUUUUGACCCAUAACAGGAAGGAAAACAAGGGUUAUUGCCGAGGGUUUGGAUUGCUGAGGUGUCGCUAAGGGUAGAAGCAAAGGCCGAAAAAAAUAGAAGAUAUAUGAGAUGAAGGGGUUGAAUGGGUCAGAGAAAAUGGGUAUUGAGGCUUCUGAUGGUUCGAAACUAUAGGAUCGAUCGUGAUGUUUUGAGGGUUGUUGAUCUGUGGGAGCAAGACGAUGGUUGUAGUGACGUCGAUGAAGGAUGCCGGAGAGAUGGGGCUGCUGCGUUUCUUGUCGAAAGAAGCUUUUGGUUUUCUUGUUUCUUUUAUUUUUCUGGUUCUGUUUUUCUAGGGUUUCUUAAGAAGGCGGUGAGUUUUCUUUUGAUUUUUUUGGGGUUUUUUUAAGUGGUUUUAUUCAUUUUUUGCAAUUUUCCACCGUUGUUUUGUGUCACUUGCUUGGUGAUAGAUUAACUCAUGCAUAUAUGCAAUAAUUUAUUGAUAAUGGCAUUUCAUCGGUCUUUAAUUUUUUUUUAAAAAA